rnacentral:tRNA from 1 species
GCGGAUGUGGCGGAAUUGGUAGACGCCCUGGAUUUAGGUUCCAGUGCCGAAAGGCGUAGGGGUUCGAGUCCCUUCAUCCGCACCA